rnacentral:sRNA from 1 species
CAACUGCGUGAAUUAAUGUGAAUUGCAGGACACGUAGAACAUCGACAUCUUGAACGCAUAUUGCGGCCUCGGCUCGCCCGGGGCCACGCCUGGCUCAGGGUCGGAUAGAUUAGCAAUCGAGCAGAUCGUCCUCUGUCGGUUUAGUAGAGGACAGCUUUGUCUGCUUGCCUUGGAGCGUUGUAUGGGCUGAUUUUGGCUAGGACCGUGCAUGACUCUCAAAUUCGCUUUCUCAAACACUGCUCUAUCGAAUCGGUUCGGAAAACGGUUCGGCAGCGUGUGGUGGCUUGCUGGCAAAACCACUUGAAAACCCAUGCUGUCGGACGAUGGACAGUCGUUUCGAGAUGAGAUGAGAUAUGMUGAACGUGUGUCUCGUCUCUAACUAUCGACUUCGACCUGAGAUCAGGCGAGAUUACCCGCUGAAUUUAA